AAUCCAAUUGUUUAUUGUUAUCUGGAGCAUGAGAUGAGUAGUAGGUAUAGAGAUUUCCGGUACAAGUUGCAUAAGCAUUACAUGCAAUAUUCCCCAGAAGAAGCACGACAUCACAAACACAAAGAUGUUGCACGAGAUGAAGAUUGGCAUCGCUUAUGCGAUUGUUGGGAAACAGAGAAGUUUAAGAAAAAAAAGAGGGACGAGAGGUAGAUGACAUUGAACUGUUCGAAGUAACACACAAAAGGAUGAACGACGAGUGGAUGAGCCAGGUGGCUGGUCAAAAACAUGAACAAAUGGUUGAACUGAGAAAUGCACCAGUGGAAGAAGGUGCAUAACCUCUUUCAGCUUGACAAAUAAGUGUUCAAGUACUAACUAGGCGAGGUGCACUUGGAUGGGGACCACCGACGGCGACGACUCAGAAUGAACGAAGUUCUCAAAGAAAUAGAGAGUCAAGAAAUCAAAUCGCUCAAUUGCAAUCCGUUGUACAGACGUAACAAAGCCUGCUUGAAUCAACAAUGGCUCAAUUGAGUCAGUUACAAGAAACUGUAAACAGACUAAGCAAUGCUGGAGAAGGAUCGUCACAACGAGCUAAUUCUCAACCGUCGAAUGAUGCAUAAAAAGGAAAAGUGAAGAUUGAUGAUCAAAAUGCGUCAGACACAUUGUAGGACCAGAAUUUCCAGCUUACUAGAGGAAUGCACUAGCCAAAUUGCUUUGAAAGUUCCAGUUUCACAAUGCUUCAGCCACAUUCGAUGCCUAGAUUGUCAAAAUGGAAAUAACAACUUUUGACCAAGUAAUUGGUCCAAGAUUUGUUAUAAGUUCCUAAAAUCUCUACAACCUCAUUUGGUUCCAACCUCCCAUGCAUUUCUCAACAUCUUGUUACCUCCAUGGCUUAUAAAAGGAGCUCUCAAGCAUCACUCUAAGGCAUCUCAU